UCCUUAAAAAGUGCUUGAAUUGAAAACUCGUUUUCAAGGGCACUUGAAACUCCUUGAAAAUUUGAAAAUUUCGAAAAAGUCCUUGAAAACUCCUCGAAAAAGAUGGAUCUCUAUCACAAAGCACUAGCGAUCUCUGAAUUAUUCCGUUGGGCUGAAGUUUUGAGGUAAAAAUGUACAAUUAGCAUGAUUUUAAUGCUCCUUGAAAAUACAAUUUUGGUCCUUGAAAAAGUCCUUGAAAAGUCCUUAAAUUUGGUUUUUGAUACUCUGCGCGGACCCUGCUCUAAAUAGGCACUAUUUGUUAGUAUUUAGUUUGGUUUUGUUACAAUGGUUUUCCUGCUUUUGCUCUAAAAAUAAUGUAAAUAAUCCAAAUUCUGAUUGCUGAUUAAUCUUGAGAAAUUAUCCUUCAGCUGCAUGUUAGCAUGGGAGUUACAUGUAUUAGUAUUCAUAGCAAAUGUGGCUGGAUACUGCUGUUGGAUGGUAGAUGGUAAAUACUCUUUAUUAGAAGUCAAGCUUUGAUGUUCUACAGGCCCUGAUGAUGCUGUAGAACAGCAAAGGUUUGAAUUCAAAUAAAGAGCAAUUAACAUCUACCAUCUAACAGCAGUAAAGAUAUGGUUGUUGUAGCUAGGAUUCAUAGUUAGUAUAAAUAUCUAGUUGUUUCUAGCUUAAUUUUUUAAUAACAGACAUUUCGAUCUGGUCUCAGAUCUUCUUCAGUGCAAAUUAAUCAGUUAAAAAUUGUCUGUGCGAGUGUUGUGAAUUAAUUAGAAAGCUAGAGGACAACUAGAAUUGUCUAAAAGCAGUAUCUGGCUGCAUUUGCUAUAUUAUUAUACUGUGACUGCUGAGAUACACUAUAUAGAGGAUAUUAUAUACUAGUGCUUGGAGAUGCAGAUUUCUUUCUGCAUCCUUUCAUUUGAUGUCUCAUGAGUGAGCCAGCAUAGCUAUUUUGGUUCAGUGCAGAGGCAUUACUUUAUUUUAAACUUUUGAGAUGGUGCUUGGAUCUAUAUUAUAUACAUGUAACANAAAUCUUUAGCAAAAUAGAAAAAGAUAGCUACCAAAAAUAUUUUUCUCAUCCAUGAAAAAGAAAAAAACAUAUUUUAUCAUAUAAUUAUCUAAAAAAAAUCCUUAAUUAUUUCUCCAUUAAGUAAAGCUGUAAUUAUUUCUAACACAUUCNAGGUUUCUAUAUUUUAGUGGAUGUAAGAUAAAAGCUAAAUUACUUUCAUAUGUGAUUAUAUGAUAAAUAGAAUAUUUACAUGGUCGCUUGGAGAUAUGAAUUUUAUUCGCUAUACUCACUUGUGAGAGAUCUUUUCAAUUUAUUAUGAUUACAUCCAAAUACAUAUUUUUUAACUUGUCUAGUAGAUUCCAUUUUUUUGGUUGGUCUGUACUCAUAGAUAGAUGAAGCCAAAAAUGUGAUGAGUACAAAAAAGUGAGACUAUGUCAAGUGGCAUGACUGUUGUAAUUUACAAAAUAUAUAAACAUGUAUUCAUUUGUAGUGAUUAUUUGAAAAUUAUUUUAGUUUUGCUCUAAAAUGUUCAUUGUACCUUUUUACAUGAAGUAGGGUGCUUCAGUCNUAUAUGACGGCCUCCACAGGGAUCCCAAGAUGGCAGCUAUGCAGGCAUUGUAGGUGUCAAGAUACACUUAGCAUAAAAGAGAAGGUAUAUAAUAAUAGAGGGGAUUUCGUAUGAGAGGGACACCGUUACCGCAUGGUUACCGCACAGUUACCGCAAAGUUACCGCACCUGGCCUGCAGAAUUUUGAAACAAUGGGGCACUAGAAUUUGGUUACAGUAUGGUUACGGACACAGUACAGUACCGUCCAUUUCCCACGCAUAUGAAAUCCGCUCUAUUCUCUGCAGUGAUCCAUUGAGUAUGGAAAGUCAUGAGCACUGUUGUUUAAUAUUUGGGCUCCCUGUGAAGAAGCUCAUAAUCAGGUGAAUGUGAUAAAUACGGGCUACCUGUGAUGACGCCCCCAAGGCAUCAUGGUCACUCCCUAACUCUAAAUUAUAGCCAAUUUGCAUUAUGGCGUCAUUUACUACAACUACCAGAAUGCUUUGCCAACUUUCUUUUGUAAUGGAAUUAGUGCCAAUUGUUUUAUUAAUCUCCAAGGGGAUUAAAAAAAAAUAACAAUGAAGAUGCGCAAGGCUCUCUGGUAGUUGUAGUAAAGUUACGAUGGUUAGUAAUAAGUAUCAUUUUAUGAAAAUAGCAUGCAUAUCCGGGAGAUUUAGGGCUAAAAUCUUGAGACCAGGAGAAUAUAUCUGAAACGGAGUCUCCCNGCAAAUCCGGGAGAGUUGAUGUCCCUGCCAUAGUGCAAAUGGCCUAUUUUAUGUUUUUAAUGUUUUUGUGGAGCAAGGAUAUAAAAUUGAUUUACCAAUUUAUAUAUUAAACUGUUAAUUUGUUGAUAAAGUGCCA
rnacentral:lncRNA from 1 species